AGAGUUUGAUCCUGGCUCAGAUUGAACGCUGGCGGCAGGCCUAACACAUGCAAGUCGAGCGGUAGAGAGAAGCUUGCUUCUCUUGAGAGCGGCGGACGGGUGAGUAAAGCCUAGGAAUCUGCCUGGUAGUGGGGGAUAACGUUCGGAAACGGACGCUAAUACCGCAUACGUCCUACGGGAGAAAGCAGGGGACCUUCGGGCCUUGCGCUAUCAGAUGAGCCUAGGUCGGAUUAGCUAGUUGGUGAGGUAAUGGCUCACCAAGGCGACGAUCCGUAACUGGUCUGAGAGGAUGAUCAGUCACACUGGAACUGACACACGGUCCACACUCCUACAGGAGGCAGCAGUGGGGAAUAUUGGACAAUGGGCGAAAGCCUGAUCCAGCCAUGCCGCGUGUGUGAAGAAGGUCUUCGGAUUGUAAAGCACUUUGAGUUGGGAGGAAGGGCAUUAACCUAAUACGUUAGUGUUUUGACGUUACCGACAGAAUAAGCACCGGCUAACUCUGUGCCAGCAACCGCGGUAAUACAGAGGGUGCAAGCGUUAAUCGGAAUUACUGGGCGUAAAGCGCGCGUACGUGGUUUAGUUAGUUGGAUGUGAUAUCGCCGGGCUCAACCUGGCAACUGCAUCCCACACUGAAUGACUACAGUAUGGUAGAGGGU
rnacentral:rRNA from 1 species